AAGGUUUGGAUCAUUCUCAUGUUAGGAAACAGACCGGAGAUUUGGGAAAAAUAUUUGAGAAGACUUGUAAGAACAUGAACAGAGGAUGAGAUAAAUCUGUGGAGAACAGCUUUGGUUGAUGUAGCUUAAUAUUCUUGGAU
rnacentral:sRNA from 1 species